UGACCUCGGAUUAGGUAGGAAUACCC
rnacentral:rRNA from 1 species